rnacentral:tRNA from 1 species
GACUGCCUUAGCCCAGUUGAUAGAGCGUAGGAGUACAAAUCCGAAGGAAACAGGUUCAAAUCCCGUCGCAGUCG